GAUGGCUAAUACCGCAUAACCUCGCAAGAGCAAAGCAGGGGACCUUCGGGCCUUGCGCUACCGGAUAUGCCCAGGUGGGAUUAGCUAGUUGGUGAGGUAAGGGCUCACCAAGGCGACGAUCCCUAGCUGGUCUGAGAGGAUGAUCAGCCCCACUGGAACUGAGACACGGUCCAGCCUCCUACGGGAGGCAGCAGUGGGGAAUAUUGCACAAUGGGCGCAAGCCUGAUGCAGCCAUGCCGCGUGUAUGAAGAAGGCCUUCGGGUUGUAAAGUACUUUCAGUAGGGAGGAAGGUGGUUAAGCUAAUACCUUAAUCAUUUGACGUUACCUACAGAAGAAGCACCGGCUAACUCCGUGCCAGCAGCCGCGGUAAUACGGAGGGUGCAAGCGUUAAUCGGAAUUACUGGGCGUAAAGCGCAUGCAGGUGGUUUGUUAAGUCAGAUGUGAAAGCCCUGGGCUCAACCUAGGAAUCGCAUUUGAAACUGACAAGCUAGAGUACUGUAGAGGGGGGUAGAAUUUCAGGUGUAGCGGUGAAAUGCGUAGAGAUCUGAAGGAAUACCGGUGGCGAAGGCGGCCCCCUGGACAGAUACUGACACUCAGAUGCGAAAGCGGGGGGAGCAAACAGGAUUAGAUACCCUGGUAGUCCACGCCGUAAACGAUGUCUACUUGGAGGUUGUGCCCUAGAGGUGUGGCUUUCGGAGCUAACGCGUUAAGUAGACCGCCUGGGGAGUACGGUCGCAAGAUUAAAACUCAAAUGAAUUGACGGGGGCCCGCACAAGCGGUGGAGCAUGUGGUUUAAUUCGAUGCAACGCGAAGAACCUUACCUACUCUUGACAU
rnacentral:rRNA from 1 species